rnacentral:lncRNA from 1 species
CUAGCUAGCAAAGCCAAAAAGGAAUUCUUUUGAAAAGCCUAGGCUGGUGCCUUGCUUAAGCUCAGGAGUUCUAAACUGCAGUUGGGCAGAAGCCAAAUAGAAGUCCACUUUAACUGUGGGGUAAAUAUGGCAAGAAUCAUAUUGAGGAAAGG